GAAAACCUCACCAGUUUUAUGGGAUGGCAAGAGAGCUCAAGAAAUUAUGAAUUUAAAUGCUGAGCUCACUUCCACCCAUCAGCAGUACCUCUACCUUCAGCAGACCUCUGAGGCACUUGCCCAGGAAUUCCAAUUCAAUGCAGAGAUAUCCAGCAUAGAGCAGGAUCUUCAGCAUAUAAAAGAUCAGCUGAAUCAAAUGGGUGAACAGUUAGCAGCUUCAACUCCUAGCAGCAGCAACUCAACGUUAAGUAAAAUUGUUAAGGUGAUGACAGAUGCUCUGGCUUGGGCAAAGCAGACAGAAUCUGAUGUCAAAGGACGACAGAAAAAGGUGCCUUUGCUUCCAGAAGAAGUCCAUCGACAGAUUAAAGAUUUAAAGAAAUUGCAGUCUGAGAUGAACUCGAAGCAAACCCAGUUGAAGUCUUUGGUUGAGGAAGUCACUGAGCUGAUUUCUGAUCUAGAUGAAGCUGAUGUUCCAAUGGUGACCUCAUCCUUGAAGGUCCUAGAGAAUUUGUCCAAAUCAACAGCAGGAAAACUGGCUGAGGCAGUUCGCGACAUGGAGUCAGGACUUCAGACCCGGGAGAAGAUGUCUGAGCAGAUAGCAGAUGUUGAUUCCUGGGUGGUUGGACAUCUGCAAAGGGAAGCUUUGAGGAGAGAAGAUUAUCAAAGUUUGAGUGUGGCAGACCUGGAUCGCAGGUUGAGGCAGAUCGAGGAGAUUCUUGGAGAAGCAGAAAAGCAGUCCGCUGUCACUGAAGCCCUUCUGAUGAAAAGCAGAGACAUUGCAUCCGAGCUAAGUGUCACAGAGAGUACUAAGCUCUAUGAGAAACUCACCAACCUUCAAGAGGACAUUAAAAGGAUUAUUAUCUAUGAGAAGGCAUGUUGCCAGAAAAUUAUAGAUGUUAUACAGAGCCAAGAAUCCUCUCAGAGGAAGGUGUCAUCUCUCGAGAACAGCCUGAGACAAAUGUUAGUUGAUGUAAAAAGACACAGGUUUCCUGUUACGAAGGAUACCCUCUCUGUCAUUGAACCCUUCAAACAGAUGCUUGUGGAGCACAAAUCUCAUGUUGAGCAAGUCAAUCCUUGUUCAGAGGAAAAGAGAAGAGAGAUGUUAUGUGUUAUUACUGAACUGUACCACAAAAUGAUUGAUUUGGAUCUCAAAUCACAAGCUCAUGAAAGGUACUUGAGCCUCAGUCGGUGCAUUGACGAUGUCAAGGAAGAAAUAGAGGCUCAGAUCCCAAGGACCAAAGAUGAGAGCAUUAACAAAGACGAACGCUACAGAGCCUGUCAGACCCUUCUGAUCCAUAUCUCUUUAGUAAAACUCUUGUGUGAGGAAACAAUGGAUGAACUGCAGGAAAUCACAGCAGAUCUAUAUCCAUCUCAGCUCUCUGCUGAACAAACAAGACUCAAACAAAUACUGGAAAGUCUCGAAACCUCAGAAAUGGCAGUGAACAAUAAUCUUCAGAUAUUGGAAUGGGAUCUGCUAAAACAUAUUCAUUAUCCAUCAGAAAAAAGAGCACUUCAGCAAUUCCUCAAAGACACCAAUGAGAAGCUGGAAAAGCCUUGUAGUAUUGAACCAAAAGAG
ensembl:lncRNA